ensembl:ncRNA F52B10.11 ncRNA
UCCAAUACAGAGGGGUGUCAGUUGUCAGUUUUCAACUUCCACUCAUGACUCAUAAAAUAUGCCAAUAUUUCCGUCCGAUAAGCAGGGCGGGAACAUUGAUUAGCACUACUGAUAGUGUAACGGCAUCACCUUUUUUUAAAAUACAAUGAUUCAUAUGAAAUCUGUUUUUUUACACUGCUUUUUCUUUGUCGUCUAUUUUUUU